rnacentral:piRNA from 1 species
UUCUGGUUAUACCUUUUUGAUGCAAUGAAU